GAUAUCGGGGAUCCAAGUAAGAGAAUUUAAAAGAAAAAUAAACAUCAGUUCAGACACUUGUGCAGGAAAUUCUGCUCAUUUCAGAACAAAGCAAAUUCAAAAGAUCUAUCUUGGAGAAAUCAGAUACUCAGACCAAGUAUAUGUUAAAAAAUUAAAACUUUAAAUCAAAAUUUUUAAGCCAGAAAUUUUAUAAUUUUGAAAGGAAAAUUUAUUUUUAACGGAUAAAUCACUCUGGAAAUCAGAUCGAAAGCAU
rnacentral:misc_RNA from 1 species